AGGAACUUAGGUUCAAUUAGACCAAGGGCCUUCAAAGCCUUAAGCGGAAGUGAGAACCUUCCAAUUCCUG
rnacentral:tRNA from 1 species